AGUGAACGCUGGCGGUAGGCCUAACACAUGCAAGUCGAACGGCAGCACAGUAAGAGCUUGCUCUUACGGGUGGCGAGUGGCGGACGGGUUAGGAAUACAUCGGAAUCUACUUUUUCGUGGGGGAUAACGUAGGGAAACUUACGCUAAUACCGCAUACGACCUACGGGUGAAAGCAGGGGAUCUUCGGACCUUGCGCGAUUGAAUGAGCCGAUGUCGGAUUAGCUAGUUGGCGGGGUAAAGGCCCACCAAGGCGACGAUCCGUAGCUGGUCUGAGAGGAUGAUCAGCCACACUGGAACUGAGACACGGUCCAGACUCCUACGGGAGGCAGCAGUGGGGAAUAUUGGACAAUGGGCGCAAGCCUGAUCCAGCCAUACCGCGUGAGUGCAGAAGGCCUUCGGGUUGUAAAGCCCUUUUGUUGGGAAAGAAAAGCAGCAGGUUAAUACCCCGCUGUUCUGACGGUACCCAAAGAAUAAGCACCGGCUAACUUCGUG
rnacentral:rRNA from 1 species